CUCUGGGUUCCUGCAUGGUGUCCUUGGGGUCCUUGUGACACCCGUGUCCCCUCUGUGUCGUCCUUGGGGGUGUCUGUGGUCCCUGUGUCCCCUCCGUGCCGUCCUUGGGGUGCUCGUGGUCUCCAGGUCCCCUCCAUGGUGUCCUCGGGGUCGUUGUGGCACCCGUGUUCCCUCCAUGUCAUCCUUGGGGUGCUCGUGGUCUCCAGGUCCCCUCCAUGGUGUCCUUGGGGUCCUUGUGGCACCCGUGUCCCCUCAAUGUCAUCCUUUGGGUGCCUGUGGCACCCAUCUUCUUCUCUGUGCCAUCCUCGGGGUGUCCGUGGUCCUUGUGUCCCCUCUGUGCCAUCCUUGGGGUGCUCGUGGUCUCCAGCUCCCCUCCGUGCUGUCCUUGGGGUCCUUGUGGCACCCGUGUUCCCUCCAUGUCAUCCUUGUGACACCCAUGUCCCCUCCGUGUCAUCCUUGGGGUGCUCGUGGUCUCCAGGUCCCCUCCAUGGUGUCCUUGGGGUCCUUGUGGCACCCGUGUUCCCUCCAUGUCAUCCUUGUGGCACCCUUGUCCCCUCCAUGUCAUCCUUGGGGUGCUCGUGGUCUCCAGGUUCCCUCCAUGAUGUCCUUGGGGUCCUUGUGGCACCCGUGUUCCCUCCAUGUCAUCCUUGGGGUGCUCAUCGUCUCCAGGUCCCCUCCGUGAUGUCCUCGGGGUCCUUGUGGCACCCAUGUCCCCUCUGUGUCAUCCUUGGGGUGCUCGUGGUCUCCAGGUCCCCUCCAUGGUGUCCUUGGCGUCCUUGUGGCACC
rnacentral:lncRNA from 1 species